CCUAUGGGUGGCUGCAGUGGGGAAUAUUGGACAAUGGGCGAAAGCCUGAUCCAGCCAUGCCGCGUGUGUGAAGAAGGCCUUCGGGUUGUAAAGCACUUUCAGUGGGGAAGAAAGCCUUGGGGCUAAUACCCUCGAGGAAGGACAUCACCCACAGAAGAAGCACCGGCUAACUCCGUGCCAGCAGCCGCGGUAAUACGGAGGGUGCGAGCGUUAAUCGGAAUUACUGGGCGUAAAGCGCGCGUAGGCGGUCUGAUAAGCCGGUUGUGAAAGCCCCGGGCUCAACCUGGGAACGGCAUCCGGAACUGUCAGGCUAGAGUGCAGGAGAGGAAGGUAGAAUUCCCGGUGUAGCGGUGAAAUGCGUAGAGAUCGGGAGGAAUACCAGUGGCGAAGGCGGCCUUCUGGACUGACACUGACGCUGAGGUGCGAAAGCGUGGGUAGCAAACAGGAUUAGAUACCCGAGUAGUC
rnacentral:rRNA from 1 species